rnacentral:lncRNA from 1 species
UUUAGGGAAAAAAAAUUACCGUGAAGAUACUGUAAAUAUCCCCCUCCAGGACUUGCUUUGGUGUGGAAGUGAUUCCGCUGUGAGUUGUGUCUUUUGCGUUGUUGCACUCUUCAUCAUAUUCAUCCGCAGGACCUCCAGCUCUAAAGGGUGUGAAGAGGAUACUGACCCACCAGAAAGAGACCCCACUGCUAGAACGAAUAAGAUGUGCUGAAAGCCGGAGCAUAACUUGGCCAUUCCAAGAUUUAACGACAAACUAACUACCCAUCAUUAACACUAAAGGUAUUGAAGCAUGAAGGAGUCUCUUCUCAGUGGGUAUGAAACACACAGAAGUCCAA